AGUACCUACGGGGCGCAGCAGUAGGGAAUUUUCGUCAAUGGGCGCAAGCCUGAACGAGCAAUGCCGCGUGAACGAGGAAGGUCUUCGGAUCGUAAAGUUCUGUUGAAGGGGAAAAAGAGCGGAGAGAGGAAAUGCUUUCUGAUUGAUAUUACCCUUCGAGGAAGUCACGGCUAACUACGUGCCAGCAGCCGCGGUAAUACGUAGGUGGCGAGCGUUAUCCGGAAUGAUUGGGCGUAAAGGGUGCGUAGGCGGUUUGAUAAGUUAGAGGUGAAAUGUCGGGGCUCAACCCCGAAACUGCCUCUAAU
rnacentral:rRNA from 1 species